rnacentral:tRNA from 1 species
GGGACGAUAGCGCAGUUGGGAGCGCGUCAGACUGAAGAUCUGGAGGUCACCGGUUCGAUCCCGGUUCGUCCCA